AACGAACGCUGGCGGCAUGCUUAACACAUGCAAGUCGAACGGUAACAGCAGUGCUUGCACUGGCUGACGAGUGGCGCACGGGUGAGUAACGCGUGGAUACGCGCCUUGAUGUGGGGGACAACAGUUGGAAACGACUGCUAAUACCGCAUAAUCCCUGAGGGGGAAAGACUUCGGUCGCAUUAAGAGUGGUCCGCGUUGGAUUAGCUAGUUGGUGAGGUAAUGGCUCACCAAGGCGACGAUCCAUAGCUGGUCUGAGAAGGUGAUCAGCCACACUGGGACUGAGACACGGCCCAG
rnacentral:rRNA from 1 species